rnacentral:rRNA from 1 species
GUUAGGAAUAUUGGACAAUGGGCGAAAGCCUGAUCCAGCCAUGCCGCGUGAACGAUGAAGGCCUUCGGGUUGUAAAGUUCUUUAGCCGAUGAUUAUAAUGACUGUAGUCGGAAAAUAAGCCCCGGCUAACUUCGUGCCAGCAGCCGCGGUAAUACGAAGGGGGCGAGCGUUAUUCGGAAUCACUGGGCGUAAAGCGUGCGUAGGCGGUUUUGUAAGUUAGGAGUGAAAGCCCAGGGCUCAACCUUGGAAUCGCUCUUAAAACUGCAAGGCUCGAAUCUCGGAGAGGAUAGCGGAAUUUCCAGUGUAGCAGUGAAAUGCGUAGAUAUUGGAAGGAACACCAGUGGCGUAAGCGGCUAUCUGGACGAGUAUUGACGCUGAGGCACGAAAGCGUGGGGAUCAAACAGGAUUAGAUACCCGGGUAGUCC